GACGAACGCUUGCGGCGUGCUUAACACAUGCAAGUCGAACGGAAAGGCCCUGCUUUUGUGGGGUGCUCGAGUGGCGAACGGGUGAGUAACACGUGAGUAACCUGCCCUUGACUUUGGGAUAACUUCAGGAAACUGGGGCUAAUACCGGAUAGGAGCUCCUGCUGCAUGGUGGGGGUUGGAAAGUUUCGGCGGUUGGGGAUUGGCUCGCGGCUUAUCAGCUUGUUGGUGGGGUAGUGGCUUACCAAGGCUUUGACGGGUAGCCGGCCUGAGAGGGUGACCGGCCACAUUGGGACUGAGAUACGGCCCAGACUCCUACGGGAGGCAGCAGUGGGGAAUAUUGCACAAUGGGCGGAAGCCUGAUGCAGCAACGCCGCGUGCGGGAUGACGGCCUUCGGGUUGUAAACCGCUUUCGCCUGUGACGAAGCGUGAGUGACGGUAAUGGGUAAAGAAGCACCGGCUAACUACGUGCCAGCAGCCGCGGUGAUACGUAGGGUGCGAGCGUUGUCCGGAUUUAUUGGGCGUAAAGGGCUCGUAGGUGGUUGAUCGCGUCGGAAGUGUAAUCUUGGGGCUUAACCCUGAGCGUGCUUUCGAUACGGGUUGACUUGAGGAAGGUAGGGGAGAAUGGAAUUCCUGGUGGAGCGGUGGAAUGCGCAGAUAUCAGGAGGAACACCAGUGGCGAAGGCGGUUCUCUGGGCCUUUCCUGACGCUGAGGAGCGAAAGCGUGGGGAGCGAACAGGCUUAGAUACCCUGGUAGUCCACGCUGUAAACGGUGGGUACUAGGUGUGGGGUCCAUUCCACGGGUUCCGUGCCGUAGCUAACGCUUUAAGUACCCCGCCUGGGGAGUACGGCCGCAAGGCUAAAACUCAAAGGAAUUGACGGGGCCCCGCACAAGCGGCGGAGCAUGCGGAUUAAUUCGAUGCAACGCGUAGAACCUUACCUGGGUUUGACAUGGAUCGGGAGUGCUCAGAGAUGGGUGUGCCUCUUUUGGGGUCGGUUCACAGGUGGUGCAUGGCUGUCGUCAGCUCGUGUCGUGAGAUGUUGGGUUAAGUCCCGCAACGAGCGCAACCCUUGUUCACUGUUGCCAGCACGUUAUGGUGGGGACUCAGUGGAGACCGCCGCGGGUCAACUCGGAGGAAGGUGGGGAUGACGUCAAGUCAUCAUGCCCCUUAUGUCCAGGGCUUCACGCAUGCUACAAUGGCUGGUACAGAGAGUGGCGAGCCUGUGAGGGUGAGAGAAUCUCGGAAAGCCGGUCUCAGUUCGGAUUGGGGUCUUGCAACUCGACCUCACGAAGUCGGAGUCGCUAGUAAUCGCAGAUCAGCAACGCUGCGGGGGAAUACGUUCCCGGGGAA
rnacentral:rRNA from 1 species